CAUAACAAUCAAUAUUUUUUUUUUAUAGAAAACAAGCCCUUAAUGGCCAUAUCAGUUUAUUUUUGGAAUUUCAUCUUUUUUCCAUUCAGCUGUUCAAAUAAUAAAUUGAUCAUUAUUCUUUACUCCUCCAGUCUUAACUUUAAAUUUUUAUAACUCAAAUGGUAAAUUUGAUAUAAUUAUAUCAACAUUUCUAGUAGAGUAUUCUCUAGUUGAAUCUGUGAUUGAUGAAAGCAGGAGACUGUUAUUUAAAAAUCCUAAGUGGAUACUCAAUUCAGGUAAAAGGAAGGAAAACAAAUUGAAAAUAGUGGUAGAAUAAAGAUAAAAUGUCAAUAAUGAUAAAAAAAAAAAAAAAAAAAAAAAAAAAAAAACAGAAAUCAAAUUCACUUAAAAUCUUUAGAGAAAAUUGG